UAUUGGAGUUCGAUUAAGCCAUGCGAGUCGCGAGAAAUUAGAUUCUCGGCGUACCGCUCAGUAACACGUGGGUAACCUGCCCUAUGCUGGAUAAUAACCUCGGGAAACUGAGAAUAAUGAUCCAUAGUUCACUACGCCUGGAACGGUGAGUGGAUGAAAGCUCCGGCGGCAUAGGAUGGGCCUGCGGCGUAUCAGGUUGUAGGGGGUGUAACGUACCCUCUAGCCCUCUACGCGUACGGGUGUUGGGAGACAUAGCCCGGAGAUGGAUUCUGAGACACGAAUCCAGACCCUACGGGGUGCAGCAGGCGCGAAAACUUGGCAAUGCGAGAAAUCGUGACCAGGGAACUCCAAGUGCAUCGGGUAAGACCGGUGCUUUUCUUGACUCUAAAUGGGUCUUGGAAUAAGGGGUGGGUAA
rnacentral:rRNA from 1 species